rnacentral:misc_RNA from 1 species
UUAGAAAUUAUUUCCUUCAGGUCUUCAGGGAAAAUUCUUGAGGAGAUGCACAAACUGCAAACAAUGUGUGCAUGUCCGAAGCAAUGUUUGCAAGUUCUGCCAGUGUGACUUCCGAAACAGUAGAGAAUUAAUGAAGAAAGAAGAGGAAGCCCGUUUUCUACUUAAAGGCAAGAAGGCUUUAGAACGAAAUACAGCAAGCCGGGUUCUACGAAGGAUUGAAAAUCAGCACGCACAAGGAAGCUUGAUGCAGAUAAACUUACAUUAGGAUCAGAAGGUGAUAGCGAUAAUGCCCUGGAAAAAAAUCAUGACGAGCUACAAGUGCAGCAGGUGCAUCAAGUCCAAAAAGUACCGCAGGUGCAAGAAAUUCAACAAGUACAAAAAGUUCCGCAGGUGGAACAUUUACAAAAAGUUCCGCAGGUGCAACAAGGGCUACCAUUAGCAAUCAUUCAGAAACAGCAAGAAGUACAAGUAGUAAAAUUUGAACCACAGGGAACUACACCAG